UCUAGUGGCGCACGGGUGCGUAACGCGUGGGAAUCUGCCCUUGGGUUCGGAAUAACAGUUAGAAAUGACUGCUAAUACCGGAUGAUGACGUAAGUCCAAAGAUUUAUCGCCCAAGGAUGAGCCCGCGUAGGAUUAGCUUGUUGGUGAGGUAAAGGCUCACCAAGGCUACGAUCCUUAGCUGGUCUGAGAGGAUGAUCAGCCACACUGGGACUGAGACACGGCCCAGACUCCUACGGGAGGCAGCAGUAGGGAAUAUUGGACAAUGGGCGAAAGCCUGAUCCAGCAAUGCCGCGUGAGCGAUGAAGGCCUUAGGGUUGUAAAGCUCUUUUACCCGGGAUGAUAAUGACAGUACCGGGAGAAUAAGCCCCGGCUAACUCCGUGCCAGCAGCCGCGGUAAUACGGAGGGGGCUAGCGUUGUUCGGAAUUACUGGGCGUAAAGCGCACGUAGGCGG
rnacentral:rRNA from 1 species